AAGCGUGAGUCUAUUUAACUUUUAACUAUCACCCUAUUAUUACAUAGUAUUGAAAUAUUGGUGAAAGAAGCCACUGACAGAACUGAGGACACCUGUAUGAUCAGCAACCAUCUAUUGGACAUCCACACUGGGGAGGAAGCUGUGUGUACACCAACAUGUCAGAAAGAAAUUGCUGUGCAGACGGAUCCCCCUCCACGGACACACCACAAGUCCAUGCAGGCGUGACCACGUGUCAGGUCAGCUGGACUGCAAGUUCCAAUCCAAGUUGGUUGUUCCAAAGAGUAUGUUACUGAACUGUUGACCGAGACUCUACGCUUUGUGCCAAGACAAUGUUGAUGAGGAACCUUUCGAAGUCCCAGCUCCACUCAGCAGUCGGUGGAAGAACCAAACAAGAGGGAUGCUGUUGUGCUGUAUAGAAGCAGAUUCAAUCACUGAACUGACAUUGUGUUUUGUUAUUGACUCUAAUAAAGUGCUGAUAC
rnacentral:lncRNA from 1 species